GGGCUAGUAGCUCAGCUUGGAGAGUAAUCAGAUUGCGUUACUCGCGCAAAUAGAGCGCCUGCCUUCUAAGCAGGAGGUCGGGGGUUCGAAUCCUCCCUGGCCCG
rnacentral:tRNA from 1 species